AUUGAACGCUAGCGGGAUGCUUUACACAUGCAAGUCGAACGAGUCGCGGACGGGUGAGUACUAUAUCGGAACGUGCCCAGUAGCUGGGGACAACUACUCGAAAGAGUUGCUAAUACCGCCUACUAUUGGCGCGCCCGAUAUCGGAUUAGCUAGUUGGUGGGGUAAAGGCCCACAAAGGCAACGAUCCGUAGCUGGUUUGAGAGGACGCCCAGCCACACUGGGACUGAGAAACGGCCCAGACUCCUACGGGAGGCAGCAGUGGGGAAUGUUGGACAAUGGGGGAAACCCUGAUCCAGCCAUCCCGCGUGUAUGAGAAGGCCUUCGGGUUGUAAAGUACUUUUGGCAGGGAAGCGGUAUCUGCAGAAUAAGCACCGGCUAACUACGUGCCAGCAGCCGCGGUAAUUC
rnacentral:rRNA from 1 species